UCCUCACACAGGACAGCACCUGUUUACUGUUUCUGCUUUCAGUGGAUGGAUAAAAGGUGUGCCUCAUAGUGGAUUUAAAGUGGAAGUGUCCAAGGAAUAAUUCUUCAUCUGGUGGAUGAGGUUACAAGUUGGUUACUUGGUGACCUGGUAUUGCCACUGCCAGCACAGAUUAUUUUAUGCAUCAGGCUGAAGAGUUUAAUCUCCUUCCUUGCCCAAGGGAAAAAGGUCAAGUAAAAAUUGAUGGCAGCCCACUUUGUCUUCACAUUGGAGAAGUCAUAGAUGAUGUUUAUAUGAGAGCAGAGGUUUUCUGACCAGAAAUAUACUUAUUCAAGAGGAAAUGCAAGAUUCCUGUUAUGGACAAUAUUUACACCAGUUUUUUGAUACACUCGGAGGGCACAUUAAAAUCCUAAGGAAUUUUAGCUCUGUUCGCAUGUCAGGAGUGGAACUGAAAAACAUGGGGCAAAAAGUCCUGGGCAGUUAUCCUGUGCAUUUUCACCUGGCUGAGGAUGUGGAUGAGAGAGGAGGAUAUGAGCAUCCAAUGCACCUCAAUAACCUGGAUGUGGAUGAGAGAGGAGGACACAUUGAUACAUGUGGAUGAGAGAGGAGGGUGUGAGCAUCCAAUGCACCUCAAUAACCUGGCUAUCACCACUGCUUCUCAUGGCCUUCUGGGCUGUCAGCACGUUCUGGAUUGCAAAUCCAAACAACAACUUAAUAGAGAAUGCAGUGGCUGCUGCUCAGGAUGUUGGGAUAUGGUGCCUCUUCCCCUGGGUCCUCACCAGACAAUCUGAUGGAAAAUAUCCAGUGGGACAGGGUGCACACAUCCCCUACAGCAGAGCCCACUCCAGU